AGAAUCAACGCUGGCGGCGCGCUUAACACAUGCAAGUCGAGCGAGAAAGUGGAGCAAUCCAUGAGUAAAGCGGCGUACGGGUGAGUAACACGUGGAUCAUCUACCUCUUUGUGGGGGAUAACUUUGGGAAACCGAAGCUAAUACCGCAUAAGCCUGUAAAGGGAAAGCAGCAAUGCGCUGAGAGAGGAGUCCGCGGCCGAUUAGCUAGUUGGUGAGGUAACGGCCCACCAAGGCGAUGAUCGGUA
rnacentral:rRNA from 1 species